rnacentral:rRNA from 1 species
UCCUAACAUGGCAACACAAUAACUGCUCGCCAAACAACUACGAGUGAAAACUUAAAACUUAAAGGACUUGACGGUACUUCACCCAACCUAGAGGAGCCUGUCCAAUAACCGAUAACCCACGAUUAAUCCAACCACUUCUGGCCAUUCAGUCUAUAUACCGCCGUCGCAAGCCCACCUUGCAAAAGAAACAAAGUGAGCCAAAUAGUCCUACACUAACACGACAGGUCGAGGUGUAACUCAUGAAGUGGACCAGGAUGGGCUACAUUUUCUAACACAGACCACACGAACAAAGAUAUGAAACUAUCUUCCAAAGGUGGAUUUAGCAGUAAGCUAAGAACACAAUGCCUAGCUGAAACCAUUGCAA